AGGUUAAGCUAGAAAGGGCGCACGGUGGAUGCCUUGGCACUAGGAGCCGAUGAAGGACGGGGCAAACGCCGAAACGCUCCGGGGAGCUGUAAGCAAGCGUGGAUCCGGAGAUGUCCGAAUGGGGGAACCCACUGCUCGUAAUGGGGCAGUAUCCAUGCCUGAAUCCAUAGGGCAUGGAGGGCACACCCGGGGAACUGAAACAUCUUAGUACCCGGAGGAGAAGAAAGCAAACGCGAUUCCCCAAGUAGCGGCGAGCGAAACGGGAACAGCCCAAACCAAGAGGCGUGUCCUCUUGGGGUUGUAGGACCGCUCAUGGUGGGAGUGAGAAAGGGACGGGGUAGACGAACCGGUCUGGAACGGCCGGCCAGAGAAGGUGAGAGCCCUGUAGUCGAAACUUCGUUCCCUCCCGAGCGGAUCCUGAGUACGGCGGGACACGAGGAAUCCCGUCGGAAGCAGGGAGGACCAUCUCCCAAGGCUAAAUACUCCCUAGUGACCGAUAGUGAACCAGUACCGUGAGGGAAAGGUGAAAAGCACCCCGGGAGGGGAGUGAAAGAGAACCUGAAACCGUGUGCCUACAAGUAGUCAGAGCCCGUUGAUGGGUGAUGGCGUGCCUUUUGUAGAAUGAACCGGCGAGUGACGAUGGCGUGCGAGGUUAAGCCGAAGAGGCGGAGCCGCAGCGAAAGCGAGUCUGAACAGGGCGAAAAGUACGUCGUCGUCGACCCGAAACCAGGUGAUCUACCCAUGUCCAGGGUGAAGGCCGGGUAACACCGGCUGGAGGCCCGAACCCACGCACGUUGAAAAGUGCGGGGAUGAGGUGUGGGUAGGGGUGAAAUGCCAAUCGAACUUGGAGAUAGCUGGUUCUCCCCGAAAUAGCUUUAGGGCUAGCCUCGGGCUUGAGAGUGUUGGAGGUAGAGCACUGAUUGGGCUAGGGGCCCAAACCGGGUUACCGAACCCAGUCAAACUCCGAAUGCCAACGACUUAUGCCCGGGAGUCAGACUACGAGUGAUAAGAUCCGUGGUCGAGAGGGGAACAGCCCAGACCGCCAGCUAAGGCCCCCAAGUGCACGUUCAGUGGAAAAGGAUGUGGAGUUGCCAAGACAACCAGGAUGUUGGCUUAGAAGCAGCCACCAUUUAAAGAGUGCGUAAUAGCUCACUGGUCGAGUGACUCUGCGCCGAAAAUGUACCGGGGCUAAACGUGCCGCCGAAGCUGCGGGAUGACCGUUGGUCAUCGGUAGGGGAGCGUUCUAAGGGCAGAGAAGCCAGACCGGAAGGACUGGUGGAGCGCUUAGAAGUGAGAAUGCCGGUAUGAGUAGCGAAAACAGAGGUGAGAAUCCUCUGCGCCGAAAGCCUAAGGGUUCCUGAGGAAGGUUCGUCCGCUCAGGGUUAGUCGGGACCUAAGCCGAGGCCGAAAGGCGUAGGUGAUGGACAACAGGUUGAGAUUCCUGUACCACCUUCUUCCCGUUUGAGCGAUGGGGGGACGCAGGAGGAUAGGGCGAGCAGGCGGCUGGAAGAGCCUGUCCAAGCCGUGAGGCUGAUCCGCAGGCAAAUCCGCGGAUUGGAAGGCCGAGCGGUGACGGCGACGGAGUCAUCCGGAAGUCCCCGAUUUCACACUGCCAAGAAAAGCCUCUAGCGAGGGAAGAGGUGCCCGUACCGCAAACCGACACAGGUAGGCGAGGAGAGAAUCCUAAGGCGCGCGGGAGAACUCUCGUUAAGGAACUCGGCAAAAUGACCCCGUAACUUCGGGAGAAGGGGUGCUCUUUGGGGUGAAGAGCCCUGAAGAGCCGCAGUGAAAAGGCCCAAGCGACUGUUUAUCAAAAACACAGGUCUCUGCGAAGCCGAAAGGCGACGUAUAGGGGCUGACACCUGCCCGGUGCUGGAAGGUUAAGGGGAGCGCUUAGCGGAAGCGAAGGUGCGAACCGAAGCCCCAGUAAACGGCGGCCGUAACUAUAACGGUCCUAAGGUAGCGAAAUUCCUUGUCGGGUAAGUUCCGACCCGCACGAAAGGUGUAACGACUUGGGCGCUGUCUCAACGAGAGACCCGGUGAAAUUAUACUACCUGUGAAGAUGCAGGUUACCCGCGACAGGACGGAAAGACCCCGUGGAGCUUUACUGCAGCCUGAUAUGGAAUUUUGGUAUCGCUUGUACAGGAUAGGUGGGAGCCUGGGAAGCCGGAGCGCCAGCUUCGGUGGAGGCGGCGGUGGGAUACCACCCUGGCGGUAUUGAAAUUCUAACCCGCACCCCUUAGCGGGGUGGGAGACAGUGUCAGGCGGGCAGUUUGACUGGGGCGGUCGCCUCCCAAAAGGUAACGGAGGCGCCCAAAGGUUCCCUCAGAAUGGUUGGAAAUCAUUCGGAGAGUGCAAAGGCACAAGGGAGCUUGACUGCGAGACGGACAGGUCGAGCAGGGACGAAAGUCGGGCUUAGUGAUCCGGUGGUUCCGCAUGGAAGGGCCAUCGCUCAACGGAUAAAAGCUACCCCGGGGAUAACAGGCUGAUCUCCCCCAAGAGUCCACAUCGACGGGGAGGUUUGGCACCUCGAUGUCGGCUCAUCGCAUCCUGGGGCUGUAGUCGGUCCCAAGGGUUGGGCUGUUCGCCCAUUAAAGCGGUACGCGAGCUGGGUUCAGAACGUCGUGAGACAGUUCGGUCCCUAUCCGUCGCGGGCGGAGGAAAUUUGAGAGGAGCUGUCCUUAGUACGAGAGGACCGGGAUGGACGCACCGCUGGUGUACCAGUUGUCCCGCCAGGGGCACCGCUGGGUAGCUAUGUGCGGACGGGAUAAGCGCUGAAAGCAUCUAAGCGUGAAGCCCCCCUCAAGAUGAGAUUUCCCACCGCGUUAGGCGGGUAAGAUCCCUCGAAGAUGACGAGGUCGAUAGGUCCGAGGUGGAAGCGUGGCGACACGUGGAGCUGACGGAUACUAAUCGAUCGAGGGCUUAACCUAG
rnacentral:rRNA from 1 species